rnacentral:rRNA from 1 species
AGAGAAUAGAUACCCAGGUAGUCCACGCCGUAAACGAUGAGUGCUAAGUGUUAGAGGGUUUCCGCCCUUUAGUGCUGCAGCUAACGCAUUAAGCACUCCGCCUGGGGAGUACGGCCGCAAGGCUGAAACUCAAAGGAAUUGACGGGGGCCCGCACAAGCGGUGGAGCAUGUGGUUUAAUUCGAAGCAACGCGAAGAACCUUACCAGGUCUUGACAUCCUCUGACACUCCUAGAGAUAGGACUUUCCCCUUCGGGGGACAGAGUGACAGGUGGUGCAUGGUUGUCGUCAGCUCGUGUCGUGAGAUGUUGGGUUAAGUCCCGCAACGAGCGCAACCCUUGAUCUUAGUUGCCAGCAUUCAGUUGGGCACUCUAAGGUGACUGCCGGUGACAAACCGGGGGAAGGUGGGGAUGACGUCAAAUCAUCAUGCCCCUUAUGACCUGGGCUACACACGUGCUACAAUGGAUGGUACAAAGGGCAGCAAAGCCGCGAGGCCUAGCCAAUCCCAUAAAA